GAAGAGGGUAAAGUGUGUAGAAAAAGAAUUUUGUGUUUCAAUGGAAAAUUAAGCAUUGUCUGGAAGACCUUAUUAUUUGAUUUCAGCCCUGUUCAUAGUCUUUGCGCUAUUUUACAACUCUUUGAAAAUUGUGGUUAACGGAUGCAAACUAUGUCCUGCCUGGCGGAAGUUGGUCGACUCCCCCCCUACACCAGAGAAAAUCCAGUUUUGAUUCCAUUUCUCCAUUUACUUAAUAAUUUCAAUAUUCCUGAUCUGUAAAUAUGCCUGUUCCUCAGAUUCCCUUUUGAACUGGUUAUAAUACCUGCCGGGGCCUGUUGAAUUAAAAUGAAAUCUUUAGCAUAUGCUCAUUUUUCUAUCUGCGUGACAGUCAUAAUCUUGCUCUUCUGUUUUAACGGUUUUGAGGUCUUCACUGAGACACCCUCCCCCAUCACGAAACUGAGCCGCAACCGUCUGCAGAGUGGCGCACAUGCGCAGGCGAGGGGCUGAAGCCCAGGCGCAGAUUUUCUUGGCUCCCAGGAGUGAGUCCAACAGGGCCAAAAGGCUUUGCGGACUAGGUCGUGUUUUUUAGUGAUUUCCCCUUCUACCAAUUUUGUGUUUUGCUUUGGUUCUGGUUCCUUUACAGCUGAGGGUUUUUAUUUAUUUUAUUUUUUUAAAAUUUGUUUUUAUUUUUAUUUAUUCAUUUUUACCACUGCUACCAUCAAUGAUUGCGAAUUUGGCCUUAUGGUCUGACCACUUGGCGAUCUCUUCGAGGGUUAAUGUUUCCAGAAGUCUAAUUUCUAUUAAAUGAGACACAACAGAAAGGCUGGCUUAUUAGUCUUUUCUGUUUGUCUUUUUGUUCAUGCCCAGCGGGAAAACAGCUCUUUGAUAUCUGGACUGUGGUUACAGAGUUCUGUGUCAUCAAAGGCAAAGGGGCCAUGGCUACACCUGUGGAUGUCAGCAGUGGAAGCCUGGACAAUACCAGGGACCAGGUGGUCUAAGCCACACUUGGGAUGGCCCAGGUCAAGGUAGUGACUGGAGGUUUGAUCCUGUGAACUCAGGUGUGACUGAUGCCAAGAUUGCCUCACUGUGGACCCAACACCCCUGGACAGGGGUGUUGAAUGUGGAGGUCACAGGAGGAAUCUGAACACUCUGAUGAUGCAAACAACCUAGAUUCCCGAAUGAUUCCGUGGAAGAGAGGAAGGUGGCCUAAUCUGCACAGAACUUGGCAUGAGCAAGAAAUAAACAUUUCUACUCAAACCUGAGAAAUACUUACAGUUAGAAAGUGUAGAGAGGAGAAUUCUCUAGAAAACUCAAGAAAUGACCAGGACUCUUUCCAUUGUUAGUUCCCUAAUUCAUUGAUGAUAUCACUCACAUGGAUGUUACUGAUAUUGGAGGUUAUAUGGCAGAUUCCUAGUUUAAGUGGUGAAAUUAUUCUUGCUCCUUCGUUUCUAAAUGUGGUUAACAUUUAAAUCAGUAGAACUUGAGUAAAGCAGGUCACUCUCCAUAACCUGGUGGCUGUCAUGCAAUGAGUUGAAGGCCUCAAGAGAAAAGGCUGACACUCCCCCAUAGAAGAAAGAAUUCUGCUUCCAGAUUGUGUUUGGGCUCAAGACUGAACCAUCAACUGUUCCCUGGGUCUGCAGCCCGCUGGCCUGACCUGUGGGUUUAGGACUUGCUAGGUCUCACAAUUGUGUGAGCCAAUACCUUGAAAUAAAUCUCUCUUUUAUAGACAUA